UGGGGAAUAUUGCGCAAUGGGGGAAACCCUGACGCAGCAACGCCGCGUGAGUGAAGAAGGUUUUCGGAUCGUAAAGCUCUGUCUUUGGGGAAGAAAAAAAUGACGGUACCCAAGGAGGAAGCCCCGGCUAACUAUGUGCCAGCAGCCGCGGUAAUACGUAGGGGGCAAGCGUUGUCCGGAAUAACUGGGCGUAAAGAGUACGUAGGCGGUUUGUUAAGUUAGAUGUGAAAGUUUGCAGCUCAACUGUAAAAGUGCAUUUAAAACUGUCAGACUUGAGUCUCGGAGAGGUAAGCGGAAUUCCGAGUGUAGCGGUGAAAUGCGUAGAGAUUAGGAAGAACACCGGUGGCGAAGGCGGCUUACUGGACGAGUACUGACGCUCAGGUACGAAAGCGUGGGGAGCAAACA
rnacentral:rRNA from 1 species